AUUGAACGCUGGCGGCAGGCCUAACACAUGCAAGUCGAGCGGCAGCGGGAAAGUAGCUUGCUACUUUUGCCGGCGAGCGGCGGACGGGUGAGUAAUGCCUGGGAAAUUGCCCAGUCGAGGGGGAUAACAGUUGGAAACGACUGCUAAUACCGCAUACGCCCUACGGGGGAAAGCAGGGGACCUUCGGGCCUUGCGCGAUUGGAUAUGCCCAGGUGGGAUUAGCUAGUUGGUGAGGUAAUGGCUCACCAAGGCGACAAUCCCUAGCUGGUCUGAGAGGAUGAUCAGCCAGACUGGAACUGAGACACGGUCCAGACUCCUACGGGAGGCAGCAGUGGGGAAUAGUGCACAAUGGGGGAAACCCUGAUGCAGCCAUGCCGCGUGUGUGAAGAAGGCCUUCGGGUUGUAAAGCACUUUCAGCGAGGAGGAAAGGUUGAUGCCUAAUACGUAUCAACUGUGACGUUACUCGCAGAAGAAGCACCGGCUAACUCCGUGCCAGCAGCCGCGGUAA
rnacentral:rRNA from 1 species